UUCAUAUAUUUUCUCUCUCUCACGAUGAAACAACCACCCAAUAUUCCCACUAGGGUUCUAAGUAUUUUUCAUCUUGUUUCUCCAAAGCAGCCACAAGAUCACCUUCUCUUCUCUAUUGCUUCAAGUAUAUUGGAUAGCUCUUCAAGGGGAGUGAAAUCUAUAUGUGUUGGAAGCCAAGGUUCUGUGCCUCUCUUCCAAAGAUUAAGAGAAGGAUACAAAAAUAAUUGAAGGAGAAUAACAGAUUAAGAUCACCAAGAUGACGAUUAUGACGUUAAAAGACAGGUUGAGACUGCGUAAGCUAUAUGAAUUGGGAAUUGAGGUACAAGUACUCAACUAGUUGAUCUCCCAAAUAGAAGCACACGAUACUCAACGGUUGUUGGUGAGCUCCUGGUUGAUUCGGGGC